GAACGCAUAUUGCGCUCUUUGGUAUUCCGAAGAGCAUGCUUGUUUGAGUAUCAGUAAACACCUCAAAACUUUUUUUUAUUUUUGAAAAACAGUUUUGGACUUGAGCAAUCCCAACACCAAUCUUUUUUAGAUCGGUGGCGGGUUGCUUGAAAUGCAGGUGCAGCUGGACAUUCUCCUGAGCUAUAAGCAUAUCUAUUUAGUCCCGUCAAACGGAUUAUUACUUUUGCUGCAGCUAACAUAAAGGGAGUCUGACCGUAUUGGCUGACUGAUGCAGGAUUUCACAAGGGUUGGAAACGACUCUUGUAAAACUCGAUCUCAAAUCAAGUAAGACUACCCGCUGACCUUA
rnacentral:misc_RNA from 1 species